ACGUUCUCAGCCAAGGACCAUCCUCAGCUCCGUGUUUGGUUAGGAGAUGGUGGAAGAGCCGCUUCUACCUUUCCUUUGUUUGGGGGGCCCUGGGCCAGGUGAUGGUGCACAGUUCCAACAUGCCAAGAAUUAGGAAUGGCCAGGGCAGAUGCUCUUCAUGGGCUCCCUGAUUUACAACCAAAACAAAACAAACACACAAAAAACAGAAAGAAGACUUGCUCAGAAAUGAGAAUGGCAGGGAGAACACAUUCAGGAGAGGUCCCAGAUAUUUUGGGGACUGUAUGUUUAGAAGGAGUGGCUUGAAAAAGUGGUCAUAACAAACAAGAAGGGGCUUCUGGCUUAGCUUUUUACUGUCCCAGAUUUGACCAAAGAAAUUGCUGUGGAGAUAUGUAAUUCCCGUAGCAGGUACUUAAAAACAGAAACAAGCUGUCUUUGCAAACAUGGUUAACAACAUGGAGAAGUCUGUGUGUGGAGGGAAAAUAAACAGGAGUAGAAAACAGUGAGAAGCUAUUCAAAAAUUUACUUUGGGGUCUUCCCCACUUCCCAGCACUUGUUUCGAGUUUUGUGUAGAAAUUAAACUAAUACAUGAACAAAUUGUGUUGUGAGGGAGCAAAUAAGUUAAAAGCAGGUUGGGUGGUGUAGCAGAAUCUCCUCAAACAGACAGAUGGGAGCGUGUUUUUAUAUUUAAGCUCUGCUCUCUACCUUUUAUUAAUAAAGUCAUUGGUCCAGGUGAAUUGGCUCUCGAGAACUCAUGGUUUCUGCUUUCAUGUAGCUUAUAAUCUAUUUGGAUGGGCAAGGCAUAUGCAUAUGACAAGCUAAAUAAUUAGAUAUGGAGCUGAAAGAAAACAAUUCUUUUUUUUUUCUUUUCUAGGAUUUAAUCUGAAACCCCAAAUGCUGUAACGUGACACACAUCUCCAUACUUGAGAAUUGCAAAAUGAAAUUAUCCUUCAACCCUUCUCACCUAAAUAUUUCCAUUUCUAACUUUCUAGCAAAUCAGAAUGCUCUGUCUCUAUAGAGAUAGAGAUUUAAUUCAGUUAAUAAAAGAAACAGAAGUUUUCUAGAAGGCAACCUUAUCUAUAAGGGGACAAAUAGAAAUAAGUAUUGUUUAGAUCUCUUCUUCCCUUCUGAUUUUAGCAUAUAGCAUUGAAGUUUUACACAAUGCAAUAUCAAAAUUAGAUUUAAACUAUUUGUUUGCUAUGGGGUUCUUUUACAUCCAGUGUGUAGCUCUGUCAUGGCAGCAAACAGGAUUUUUGCAAUUUAUUGAGCUUCCCAGUGAUUCCAUAUCUUCACCGAUUCUUUGCUACAAUCUAAUUUAACGUAAUUUUAUCUAAUUUCAUUUGUUUACUGUCUAGUUUUAACAUAAUUUUGCACUUAAAUGGACAAAUUACCAAUCUGAUUUUAUCAUGUGGAAGGACUAGGGGAUAUUAUUUUGAAUAUUACAUCUCGUCAUGUACAGAAUAUGGGGCUUGAAAUAGAUGAGUUCUCAGUUUCCUCUUCAUCUGACAAGUCUGAGAGUAUAAUGCAAAGGCACACAUCCUUUGGAUUUCAGAGCCCAGGACCAGGCAGCUGUGCAGCUGAGUGCGCUGGAAGAGGAAAUGGAUCAGAGGAUUCAGGCAGCAGAACACAAGACACGGAAAGAAGAAAAACGGAAAGCUGAAGGAGCUCUUAGUGACCUCAGAUGUCAGUGUGAAACAGGAGAUCUGCAGGUGACCGAAAAAAACUCAAAAACGUAGUGAAGAUAUUUCCAUUAACCAUGGAGACAACCAUAUGCAAGAAGUGAAAUCAGUGCUGUGCUGGAAGCAGCAUGUACUAGCUGAUGACAACCCUUUGAAGCAUCUCCUCCUGACUCUGCAUUCAGUGAUGUCAACCUAGGAGCUUGAACUCAGUCACUGUGAAAUAUUCAUAUCAUGGAAAUUGGCAAAUGCUACAAACUGGGGCCUGCCACACACCCCCUGAGAGCCAUUUGUUAAAAAUUGGCAUUUGGAGAUGGACCAGCUCUUUAAAUGAACAAAAAAAAGAAAAAGCACAGGAGCAGCUGCAGAUACGACGGGAGCGGGCUGGGCUAAUGCCAAGUGUCUGGCGUGGAGGA